GAGAUGAGUUCGGGGCGCGGAGGAGGUAUGCGCCGGCGGCGGGGCGAGGAGGAGGACCGGUCCGGUGCACGGGCGGUCGGCGUGAGUAGGAGGGCCGAUGCGCGAGGCGGCGGAACGAGGAGGUCGGUUGAGGGCUGCGGUGGGUGGAGCAGACGCCGAUGUUCCCACACUUUACGUUGGGUACCGUCGAAGAAGAGGGUUUAGGUGGCGGCGCAAGUAGCUAGCUAAGGCACCGACCGCCUCGAUGGCCUCUAAUGAUCUAAAACCCUCCGUACCCCUCUUCUCCCUCCUCUUUAUGGUGAGACGCCUCUCUCUCCCCGGUCUCGCGGUAGGCGCGCGCCACUGGUGGUCCGCCUCCAUGCUAGGAGGCACGCGGCGCGAGCACGUCUCUUCCAUGGGCGCGCCGCGCAGGCACGUUGUGCUGGUGGAGCGCACGUCCUCACCCUCCGCGGUCUAGGCCCGGUUGCGGCGGCGCGCUAGGGUUCUCGAGACUGGUUGCCUUCGUCGGCGCCCUGGGAAGUGAGGCCAGGGUACAGGCAGCGGCUCGAACCCAACCCCACCGCCAGCUGCCCGCUUGACCCCUAACCCCUACUUGACGAUGCGGCCGUUCACCGUUGACGAGGUCAAGAGCAUGUGCCCGGCUUGUUUCAAGAACAACGUACCACCGGUAGUCUCCUCCAUGUACACCAACCUCUAGACCCUCCUUCUUCUCGUCACUCUUCUGCUCCGUACGCUACCCAACCACCCUUCCUGUUGUACACCCUGAAAAAGACGUGCACUAGCCCCUUCCCCUCACCACGAUCAACCACUAGAAAAGAAAAACGACCAACCACACGGCCCCGUGGAGGCAAGGAUUUAUAUUCAGAAACAUCUCUAAAGUGAUACUUGGUGUAUGCCUACAUAUAUCUACGUAAAAUCUUCAUCUAAGUGAGUAAAACGAGGCAUACAUCAGGUAUCACUUUGGAGAUGUUUCUGAAUAUAAAUCCUUGCCUCCCUCAUAUACCAAUGUGCCCGCGAAUGAUCCCCACGAUUCCCGUAGAAGUUGCCGUUGGGCGUGCACGGCGGAGAUAUGUUCUUAACUUCAGCAGGCGGAGGUACAGCGGGGGUUCGAACCGCAGCUGCCCUGCCCUCCCCACCACCGGAAAAACCCUGUGCUCACCACUGCUGGAUGGCACGUGAUGAGAAGGAGCAACAGCCGCCGCGGCUUGUUGCGGAGCGGGCGGAGCAGCAGCGUGAGGUACGGCCGCCGGCGGUGAAGGCGGUGGGCGACGGCCAUAGCGGUCGCCCGCUCGACAUAGAGCGCCCGCCUCGCCAUCCUAAGUUCAUCACGGAGGACGAGGCGGUCCAGGAGCAGGCCGGGCCGCCGGAACGGCCGCCACUGGAUGAGGAGACGUACGUCUACGAGGAUCUCCUUCAACACCAACAUCAACCGCAGCCGGACGCGGAAAGCUUUGACCGGGAGGGCGAGGCAUGUGGUACAGGUAUAUCACCCGUGCCCCGAACAGCCACCAGUACCACGUUACGUGGCCACUCCCACCUCGCCUCUUCCUCCCACAGCGCCUCCUU
rnacentral:rRNA from 1 species